GAUGAACGCUAGCGGCAGGCUUAACACAUGCAAGUCGAGGGGUAGAAGUUGCUUGCAACUUUGAGACCGGCGCACGGGUGCGUAACGCGUAUGCAAUCUACCUUAUACAGAGGGAUAGCCCAGAGAAAUUUGGAUUAAUACCUCAUAGUAUAAUUGAAUGGCAUCAUUUAAUUAUUAAAGUUCCAACGGUAUAGGAUGAGCAUGCGUCCUAUUAGCUAGAUGGUAAGGUAACGGCUUACCAUGGCAACGAUAGGUAGGGGUCCUGAGAGGGAGAUCCCCCACACUGGUACUGAGACACGGACCAGACUCCUACGGGAGGCAGCAGUGGGGAAUAUUGGUCAAUGGACGCAAGUCUGAACCAGCCAUGCCGCGUGCAGGAUGACGGUCCUAUGGAUUGUAAACUGCUUUUGUACAGGAAGAAACACUCCUUCGUGAAGGAACUUGACGGUACUGUAAGAAUAAGGAUCGGCUAACUCCGUGCCAGCCGCCGCAGUAACAC
rnacentral:rRNA from 1 species